rnacentral:rRNA from 1 species
GACGUAGGGCGCGAGCGUUGUCCGGAUUUAUUGGGCGUAAAGAGCUCGUAGGCGGCUUGUCGCGUUGUUCGUGAAAAUUUACCGCUCAACGGUGAACUUGCGGGCGAUACGGGCAGGCUAGAGUACUGCAGGGGAGACUGGAAUUCCUGGUGUAGCGGUGAAAUGCGCAGAUAUCAGGAGGAACACCGGUGGCGAAGGCGGGUCUCUGGGCAGUAACUGACGCUGGAGGAAGCGAAAGCCGUGGGUAGCAAACAGGA